rnacentral:rRNA from 1 species
ACGGAGGAUGCGAGCGUUAUCCGGAUUCAUUGGGUUUAAAGGGUGCGUAGGCGGACUAUUAAGUCAGUGGUGAAAGAGGGCAGCGAAACUGCAGAACUGCCAUUGAUACUGAUAGCCUUGAGUUUGGUUAAGGUAGGCGGAAUGUGUAAUGAGGCGGGGAAAUGCUUAGACAUUGCACAUAACACCAAUUGGGUAGGCAGUUUAAUGAGCCGACACUGACACUGAGGCACGAAAGCGUGGGGAUCGAACAG